rnacentral:lncRNA from 1 species
CAAAAAGAAGAUUCCCCAUCACAUCAAACUUGCGGUACAUGCAUGGAGUACUAAAUGUAGACGAAAUUAAAAACUAAUUGCACAGUUUUGUUGUACUUUGCGAGACGAAUCUUUUGAGCCUAAUUAGUUAAUGUUUGAACAAUAAUUCACAAAUGCAAACGAAAUGCUACAAUGUGCUACAGUGCUGGCACAAAAAUUUUGGCAACCAAACAAGGUAUCAGGGGACUUGAUCUCAGAUUCUGUGCACCCCGGCCCCUUUAACUUGACGGAAAUUGCACAAAGCAACCCCUCGAUCCAUCGUCAAACCAGCCGCGCCACCAUCAUCAGCGACUCGAGGGUGGCUGCCGCGAGGGAAGGACGAAGACCGAUGAUUUCCAUCGAUGGCAAUCCUGAAUCUUCCGUUCCUCCCUUACUAAUUUCUGCAAUGCGGCUCCUGCUGAGGCUGAGGCAAGCCAUGCCUGGCGCCUGCGGUCCUGGAUGGGUUGCUGCAAAGUGCAAUCGAUGACUGUCGCCGUUGUUUGGAGCAUGCGCGUGACGUCAGCUGUUUGCGGAAAUGCCUGUGUGGCCACAGCCCACGCCGCCGCGCCCCCUGCCGGGGCAAUGGCGCCACGCAUGUCAUUUGGCAUGACAAUAUGGCAUGGACCGCUGCAAUAUACAUGUCCUACAGUAACAGCCCAACU